AGUUGCCUGUAGAUGGGUUCAUCCCGGAGGGCGACCUUGAGAAACUAUCUGCUUCCUCCCGAAUCACAGAAUUCGACGGAGCACUCUCCCGAUUAAUCGGAAAAGAACGGCCGGUCAGACCAGCCCGGAACUUCUGAUAAAGUCGGAACCGCCGGAAAGGGAAACGCGAAAGCGAGAACCUGGAAAGCACCGAGGAAAUCGGAUCGGAAAGAUCUGAUAGAGUCGGAAACGCAAGACCGAAGGGAAGCGCCCGAAGGAAAGCCUGAGAGAGUCUCUCGGGUGAGUACAAAGGAAGCGUCCGUUCCUUGAGAACUCAACAGCGUGCCAAAAGUCAACGCCAGAUAUGUUGAUACCCCGACCUGAUCGGAUCUCUGAUCGGGUUGAGGUUCCUUUGAAAAAAUACAGCGAGGACGCUGUGAACGGUCGGAUUAUUCCUCCGACUGUUCCGCUCCCGUGAUGUAAAGCAUUCACGGAGAGUUUGAUCCUGGCUCAGGACGAACGCUGGCGGCGUGCUUAACACAUGCAAGUCGAACGAUGAACCACUUCGGUGGGGAUUAGUGGCGAACGGGUGAGUAACACGUGGGCAAUCUGCCCUGCACUCUGGGACAAGCCCUGGAAACGGGGUCUAAUACCGGAUACUGAUCCGCUUGGGCAUCCAGGCGGUUCGAAAGCUCCGGCGGUGCAGGAUGAGCCCGCGGCCUAUCAGCUUGUUGGUGAGGUAGUGGCUCACCAAGGCGACGACGGGUAGCCGGCCUGAGAGGGCGACCGGCCACACUGGGACUGAGACACGGCCCAGACUCCUACGGGAGGCAGCAGUGGGGAAUAUUGCACAAUGGGCGAAAGCCUGAUGCAGCGACGCCGCGUGAGGGAUGACGGCCUUCGGGUUGUAAACCUCUUUCAGCAGGGAAGAAGCGAAAGUGACGGUACCUGCAGAAGAAGCGCCGGCUAACUACGUGCCAGCAGCCGCGGUAAUACGUAGGGCGCAAGCGUUGUCCGGAAUUAUUGGGCGUAAAGAGCUCGUAGGCGGCUUGUCACGUCGGUUGUGAAAGCCCGGGGCUUAACCCCGGGUCUGCAGUCGAUACGGGCAGGCUAGAGUUCGGUAGGGGAGAUCGGAAUUCCUGGUGUAGCGGUGAAAUGCGCAGAUAUCAGGAGGAACACCGGUGGCGAAGGCGGAUCUCUGGGCCGAUACUGACGCUGAGGAGCGAAAGCGUGGGGAGCGAACAGGAUUAGAUACCCUGGUAGUCCACGCCGUAAACGGUGGGCACUAGGUGUGGGCAACAUUCCACGUUGUCCGUGCCGCAGCUAACGCAUUAAGUGCCCCGCCUGGGGAGUACGGCCGCAAGGCUAAAACUCAAAGGAAUUGACGGGGGCCCGCACAAGCGGCGGAGCAUGUGGCUUAAUUCGACGCAACGCGAAGAACCUUACCAAGGCUUGACAUACACCGGAAAGCAUUAGAGAUAGUGCCCCCCUUGUGGUCGGUGUACAGGUGGUGCAUGGCUGUCGUCAGCUCGUGUCGUGAGAUGUUGGGUUAAGUCCCGCAACGAGCGCAACCCUUGUCCCGUGUUGCCAGCAAGCCCUUCGGGGUGUUGGGGACUCACGGGAGACCGCCGGGGUCAACUCGGAGGAAGGUGGGGACGACGUCAAGUCAUCAUGCCCCUUAUGUCUUGGGCUGCACACGUGCUACAAUGGCCGGUACAAUGAGCUGCGAUACCGCGAGGUGGAGCGAAUCUCAAAAAGCCGGUCUCAGUUCGGAUUGGGGUCUGCAACUCGACCCCAUGAAGUCGGAGUCGCUAGUAAUCGCAGAUCAGCAUUGCUGCGGUGAAUACGUUCCCGGGCCUUGUACACACCGCCCGUCACGUCACGAAAGUCGGUAACACCCGAAGCCGGUGGCCCAACCCCUUGUGGGAGGGAGCUGUCGAAGGUGGGACUGGCGAUUGGGACGAAGUCGUAACAAGGUAGCCGUACCGGAAGGUGCGGCUGGAUCACCUCCUUUCUAAGGAGCACUUCUAAGCCAGGCUUGCCUGGUUCAGAGGCCAGUACAUCAGCGAAUGUCUGAUGCUGGUUGCUCAUGGGUGGAACGUUGACUACUCGGCACGAUCGGCUUGAUGGAUCACUAGUACUGCUUCGGCGUGGAACGUGAGUCCUGAGAGUGGUUCGUGUCGGGCACGCUGUUGGGUAUCUGAGGGUACGGCCGUUGGCCUGCUUUCAGUGCCGGCCCCAGUGCACUCGGGAUGUUGUCCCGGGGUGAUGGGUGGUUGGUCGUUGUUUGAGAACUGCACAGUGGACGCGAGCAUCUGUGGCCAAGUUUUUAAGGGCGCACGGUGGAUGCCUUGGCACCAGGAACCGAUGAAGGACGUGGGAGGCCACGAUAGUCCCCGGGGAGCCGUCAACCAGGCUUUGAUCCGGGGGUUUCCGAAUGGGGAAACCCGGCAGUCGUCAUGGGCUGUCACCCGCUGCUGAACACAUAGGCAGUGUGGAGGGAACGCGGGGAAGUGAAACAUCUCAGUACCCGCAGGAAGAGAAAACAACCGUGAUUCCGGGAGUAGUGGCGAGCGAAACCGGAUGAGGCCAAACCGUAUACGUGUGAGACCCGGCAGGGGUUGCGUGUGCGGGGUUGUGGGAUCUCUCUUUCACAGUCUGCCGGCUGUGAGGCGAGUCAGAAACCGUUGAUGUAGGCGAAGGACAUGCGAAAGGUCCGGCGUAGAGGGUAAGACCCCCGUAGUCGAAACAUCAGCGGCUCGUUUGAGAGACACCCAAGUAGCACGGGGCCCGAGAAAUCCCGUGUGAAUCUGGCGGGACCACCCGCUAAGCCUAAAUAUUCCCUGGUGACCGAUAGCGGAUAGUACCGUGAGGGAAUGGUGAAAAGUACCGCGGGAGCGGAGUGAAAUAGUACCUGAAACCGUGUGCCUACAAGCCGUGGGAGCGUCGGACAUCAAGCUUGCUUGGUGUCUCGUGACUGCGUGCCUUUUGAAGAAUGAGCCUGCGAGUUUGCGGUGUGUUGCGAGGUUAACCCGAGUGGGGAAGCCGUAGCGAAAGCGAGUCCGAAUAGGGCGUUUCAGUAGCACGCUCAAGACCCGAAGCGGAGUGAUCUAGCCAUGGGCAGGUUGAAGCGGAGGUAAGACUUCGUGGAGGACCGAACCCACCAGGGUUGAAAACCUGGGGGAUGACCUGUGGUUAGGGGUGAAAGGCCAAUCAAACUCCGUGAUAGCUGGUUCUCCCCGAAAUGCAUUUAGGUGCAGCGUCGUGUGUUUCUUGCCGGAGGUAGAGCACUGGAUAGGCGAUGGGCCCUACCGGGUUACUGACCUUAGCCAAACUCCGAAUGCCGGUAAGUGAGAGCGCGGCAGUGAGACUGUGGGGGAUAAGCUCCAUGGUCGAGAGGGAAACAGCCCAGAGCAUCGACUAAGGCCCCUAAGCGUACGCUAAGUGGGAAAGGAUGUGGAGUCGCACAGACAACCAGGAGGUUGGCUUAGAAGCAGCCACCCUUGAAAGAGUGCGUAAUAGCUCACUGGUCUAGUGAUUCCGCGCCGACAAUGUAGCGGGGCUCAAGCGUACCGCCGAAGUCGUGUCAUUCAUACAUUAGGGCCAACGCCUGUAUGGAUGGGUAGGGGAGCGUCGUGUGCCGGGUGAAGCAGCCGCGGAAGCGAGUUGUGGACGGUUCACGAGUGAGAAUGCAGGCAUGAGUAGCGAUACAAACGUGAGAAACGUUUGCGCCGAUUGACUAAGGGUUCCUGGGUCAAGCUGAUCUGCCCAGGGUAAGUCGGGACCUAAGGCGAGGCCGACAGGCGUAGUCGAUGGAUAACCGGUUGAUAUUCCGGUACCCGCUGUGAAGCGUCAAACAUCGAGCAUCGUGAUGCUAAGGCCGUGAAGCCGCCCUGAUCUCUUCGGAGUUGAGGGGAGUGGUGGAGCCGCCGGACCAAGCGGUUAGUAGGUGAGUGAUGGGGUGACGCAGGAAGGUAGUCCAUCCCGGCGUGGUUGUCCCGGGGUAAGGUGUAGGCCGUGCGGUAGGUAAAUCCGUCGCACACAAGGCUGAGACCUGAUGCCGAGCCGAUUGUGGUGAAGUGGAUGAUCCUAUGCUGUCGAGAAAAGCCUCUAGCGAGUUUCAUGGCGGCCCGUACCCUAAACCGACUCAGGUGGUCAGGUAGAGAAUACCGAGGCGUUCGGGUGAACUAUGGUUAAGGAACUCGGCAAAAUGCCCCCGUAACUUCGGGAGAAGGGGGGCCACACCUGGUGAUGAUCUUUACGGUCUGAGCUGGGGGUGGCCGCAGAGACCAGCGAGAAGCGACUGUUUACUAAAAACACAGGUCCGUGCGAAGCCGUAAGGCGAUGUAUACGGACUGACGCCUGCCCGGUGCUGGAACGUUAAGGGGACCGGUUAGCUCCAUUUCGGUGGGGCGAAGCUGAGAACUUAAGCGCCAGUAAACGGCGGUGGUAACUAUAACCAUCCUAAGGUAGCGAAAUUCCUUGUCGGGUAAGUUCCGACCUGCACGAAUGGCGUAACGACUUCUCGACUGUCUCAACCAUAGGCCCGGUGAAAUUGCACUACGAGUAAAGAUGCUCGUUUCGCGCAGCAGGACGGAAAGACCCCGGGACCUUUACUACAGUUUGAUAUUGGUGUUCGGUUCGGCUUGUGUAGGAUAGCUGGGAGACUUUGAAGCUCGCACGCCAGUGUGGGUGGAGUCGUCGUUGAAAUACCAGUCUGGUCGUGCUGGAUGUCUAACCUGGGUCCGUGAUCCGGAUCAGGGACAGUGUCUGAUGGGUAGUUUAACUGGGGCGGUUGCCUCCUAAAGAGUAACGGAGGCGCCCAAAGGUUCCCUCAGCCUGGUUGGCAAUCAGGUGUUGAGUGUAAGUGCACAAGGGAGCUUGACUGUGAGACCGACGGGUCGAGCAGGGACGAAAGUCGGGACUAGUGAUCCGGCGGUGGCUUGUGGAAGCGCCGUCGCUCAACGGAUAAAAGGUACCCCGGGGAUAACAGGCUGAUCUUCCCCAAGAGUCCAUAUCGACGGGAUGGUUUGGCACCUCGAUGUCGGCUCGUCGCAUCCUGGGGCUGGAGUCGGUCCCAAGGGUUGGGCUGUUCGCCCAUUAAAGCGGUACGCGAGCUGGGUUUAGAACGUCGUGAGACAGUUCGGUCCCUAUCCGCUGUGCGCGUAGGAGUCUUGAGAAGGGCUGUCCCUAGUACGAGAGGACCGGGACGGACGAACCUCUGGUGUGCCAGUUGUCCUGCCAAGGGCAUGGCUGGUUGGCUACGUUCGGGAGGGAUAACCGCUGAAAGCAUCUAAGCGGGAAGCCUGCUUCGAGAUGAGGACUCCCACCCCCUUGAGGGGUUAAGGCUCCCAGUAGACGACUGGGUUGAUAGGCCGGAUCUGGAAGCACCGCAAGGUGUGGAGGUGACCGGUACUAAUAGGCCGAGGGCUUGUCCUCAUUUGCUCGCGUCCACUGUGUUGGUUCUGAAACCACGAACAACCCCAUGUGCCACACAUGGUGCGGUUGUCAGUUUCAUAGUGUUUCGGUGGUCAUAGCGUUAGGGAAACGCCCGGUUACAUUCCGAACCCGGAAGCUAAGCCUUACAGCGCCGAUGGUACUGCAGGGGGGACCCUGUGGGAGAGUAGGACGCCGCCGAACAAUCAUUGCGAGGAAA
rnacentral:rRNA from 1 species